CUAAAGUCGUUUUACUUUAGAUGCUUUCCGAAAGGUUGUCCACGUCAUUUCCAGAUUCCAUGAACAGAUAAUCUCCAAGGUAUCACUCAAGUUAAAGAGACGGGACUUCUUCCCUCCCCACCCGUCUCCACGCAUCAGUGGAGGGGAGGGAGGAGACGGCGGACAGAAGAAGGAGGGGGGGCAAAGUGAGAAAAGCAAGAUGAGAAAGGGGUGUGGAAGGAAGGAUGAGAGGAGGGCAGGGAGAGAGGACGAUUAGGGCUGGUGGAGAGCCCGGGGCGUCUGCCCGGGCACGGGACCCGGUCCCGCAGCGCGCAGCCAGCUCCGCGGCCCCGGAGCAGUCGCAGCCCCUGCCCGGCCCGGCCCGGCCCGCGAGCCGCCUUCCCGCUCCGGACUGCGGCGGGCAGCGCUCGCGGGAGGCCCUAAGAAGAGAGAGUGAGAUUAUUGGACUGUGAGCUUUUCCUUAACUUCUCACAAGAGCAGGAGCAUGAGGAGGUGGAGUGGUGAUGAAAACCAAUAAGCCAGUCUAUCACAACAUGGUAUGAAGGGACUACACGGAAAAGAGCUGCCAUAAACCCAAGUUGGACAUGUUCUUUGAGCAAGAAAUAAAUCCUGUGGUUUUAAGGUA
ensembl:lncRNA